CCUACGGGAGGCAGCAGUGGGGAAUAUUGCACAAUGGGGGAAACCCUGAUGCAGCGACGCCGCGUGAGUGAAGAAGUAAUUCGUUAUGUAAAGCUCUAUCAGCAGGGAAGAAACUGCAGGUACCUGAGUAAGAAGCCCCGGCUAACUACGUGACAGCAGCCGAGGUAAUACGUAGGGGGCAAGCGUUAUCCGGAUUUACUGGGUGUAAAGGGAGCGUAGACGGUGCGCCGAGUCUGGAGUGAAAGGCCGCAGCUUAACUGCGGAACUGCGGUGGAUAGUGGCGAACUGGAGUGCGGGAGGGGUGAGCGGAAUUCCUGGUGUAGCGGUGAAAUGCGUAGAUAUUAGGAGGAACACCGGUGGCGAAGGCGGCUUACUGGACCGUAACUGACGUUGAGGCUCGAAAGCGUGGGGAGCAAACAGGAUUAGAUACCCCAGUAGUC
rnacentral:rRNA from 1 species